rnacentral:rRNA from 1 species
AUUGAACGCUGGCGGCAGGCCUAACACAUGCAAGUCGAGCGGAUGCAGGGAGCUUGCUCCCGGAUUCAGCGGCGGACGGGUGAGUAAUGCCCAGGAACCUGCCUCGCAGUGGGGGAUAAUGACUGGAAACGGGCGUUACUACUGCCUAAGACCAGACGCGGAAAGAGGUGGAUCUUCGGACCUCACGCUCUCACAUGAGUCUAGGUCGGAUUUGCCAGCUGGUGGGGUAAAGGCCUACCCAGCAGACGAACCGUAACUGGUCUGAGAGGAUGAUCAGUCACACGGGAACUGAGACACGGUCCAGACUCCUACGGGAGGCAGCAGUGUGGAAUAUUGGACAGUGGGCGAGAGCCUGAUCCAGCCAGGCCGCGUGUGUGAAGAAGGUCUUCGGAUUGUAAAGCACGUUAAGGUGGGAGGAAGGUCAGUAGGUUAAUACCAUGCUGUUGUGACGUUACCAACAGAAUAAGCACCGGCUAACUUCGUG